GGAAGUUAUGCCCUUUUGACCCAAAGGGCUAAGAGGAAGGUUGGGAGGAAGAUGAUAAAGAAAAAGCAAAGGAUAAUACAAUUUGUAUGUGCUGGUCAUGGAUGUUAAAAGUUUUAAAUUAUCCCAGUAGGAGGUAAUUGGGGAGCAACCCCAGUCAGAAUGAAGAAACAUGUUGUAGUGCACCACACUGUAUUGACUUUCUCUCCUUGCUCCCUGGAACUGUAACUUGGAUAUAGCUAUUCCCAGACAUCUUACAGAACAUUGGGUUUUUGUGAUCCUUUCAACUGGUUAUGUGUGAAAUUAGUGUUUAUGAGGAAAAAAUACUCCCGCAUAGUGUUGUCAAUCUAGGAGGUGCACAUUACUGUGGAAGUGAAAGCCUCAGUUGUGCAAAUACUUAGGAUCAUGAUUUCUUUUCUGUAGCUUUGGUUUUUCUCCUUCUUAUUCCUAAUUAUUCCAAUAUUAUUCUUAUUAUUUUUUCCUUUUUUUUUCCCCUGUGUUCUUCUCUGGCUUGUGGGUUUUUAUCUUUUGUUUUUAAUCUGUUUUUCCUAAACUAUUUAUGUUUCAGCUUUUUUACAUCCCCCAGCCCUCCUUGUAAUCUUUCAGUGCCUGUGGGAAAGGAAGAUGGAGCAAAGCUUAUCUUUUUCCAUUCUGCAGAUGAAAAUCCAGAGGUUGUACACAGAAAGAUUCAGAGAGAUAGGGGAAGGAGUGCUGUUGCUAUAGGAGUUUUCUUUGCUUCCUCUCUUCUGCAAGAGCUUAUCCUCAGUGAGUCUGGGGGACUCGAGACAGGAAAGGGCUCUGAAAUUCUUGCCAGAAAUAGAAAACAGGUAACUUGAUCCUCCUUUUAUCCCACAGAAACCUGAGGACGAAUGGGUGUGCCCAGUAAGUGUGACAGCAAGGCAAGAAAUUAGAAACAGUCCUGUGGAUGAGGAGGCUGAAAGAGAAGACUGGGAAGAGAUGCCAGGACUGAAAAUUCUACAUCUCCAUGGCAUGUUGAAGGACAGGGAAAGACAAGGAAUUGCGCUGACCCCCUGUUGCAACAGCGAAAAUAUUCAGCCGGAUGGUGAGAUAAAUUACUCCCACAAUCAAGCAGAAGAGCCCCAGUGCUUCUCCUGGCCUGGGGCAGCUGAAUGCAGAGUCCUCCUGCGACCUCGGACCAGACAGAAAGGUCUAGCUGACCCACCUGGAAGGAGACACAGCUGGAUGAAGUUCCCACAGGAGGACUUGUGAUGUAUGAAAACCGAAAACCCGAAUUUUUAAAUGCAAAGCUAAAAGGAGCUCGGUGCUUUCUCCACAAGGUCAGGAAGAAAAGCUUCCAACUUGUCAGUCACGUGUUUUCACUCUGCCUUGUGUGAAUGGAGUAGUCAUAUUGGUCCUGCUUCAAGGCUCCCAAGAGGCCAAAACUAAGUUACAACAGAUUUUUACAUUUCAGGAAGGACAUGUGAUCUUUCAAGGAAAAGAAUAAACAGUGCUGCUGUUCACA
rnacentral:lncRNA from 1 species